CUUUGGGAGACAGAUCAAAACUAAUUUUGAAGCUGGGUGUGGUGGUGCACGCCUAUAAUCCCGGUGUCUUUGGAGGCUGAGGCAGGAGAAAGGCGAAUUCAAAGCUAGUCUCAGCAAAAGCGAGGAAGGGGAAGCAAGUCUGUGAGAUCCUGUCUCUAAAUAAAAUAUAAAAUAAGGCUGGGGAUGUAGCUCAGUGAACGAGUGCCCUGAGUUCAACCCCUGGUACCCACCCCCCCAAAAAAAAGCUGGUUAUGAACAAGUCAGAAGAGAUCCCUUUUGCUUUUGUGCCCUCCCUCACACUUCACUCUAUGACUAUAGCUGAUCCUGCCCCAUUCAGAUCCGACUUGCAGGGUAGUGCUCCUACCCUAUGUGUAACAGAUUUGGCUACUAAUGGCUCAUCCCAAGCUAUUUUUGUAAGGAUGUCCUUUAGUAGGAGCAGCCUUACCAGGAGAUAUCUGGAAAAUGAUGCCCCCUCUUCUGGGGGUGGUUUGAGAGUAGGGUCUAACUGGGAGUGUGGGGAGUGUGGUUGGUGCGUGAACAGUCUAAUCUUCUUGCUUCUGCACAGAAAAACCUGUGCUGAGGAUUACAACCAUUUCAAUUCAAUGAGACAGCAUAAAAUAAGGCUGUUUUAUUGGCUGGCAUAUAGAAAUAUUAAAUAUAAUAGUAGAGGAAAUUGUUAACCAAUAAGCUGACUAUUGAAAUAGUAUCAAUGCAUCAAUGUCGAAUAUAGACUUCAACUUCAUGAAAUAUUUCUGAUCCCACAAAAACAGAUGCCUUGCUCCAUCUUGUAAUAUAGGGUAUGGCAUCUCUCUCUGCUAGCUAUGUACUCACCUGGAACUAGCACAUGGACUUGUCUUCCUUGGAUCGCUACCUCCUGGCACCUCGCAUAGUGUCUGGCCAGAUGGAAAGUAGCUUCAAGAGUUAGUAGAAAGAACUUAUUUGUGGAUUGAAUGAUAACUCUAGUCUAGCUGUCAAUCUAAUGUGAAAAUCCUGUCCACCCCCUCCCAGUCUCAGGACCUUGCCUCUUCCUGGGAAUACUUUUUCUGACCCAGGUACUUGUAGGUGCUUUACAACAUGCUCUCUUAUUCAGUACUCACAAAACUCCUGGGGAAAUAAUCCAUCCAAAUUCCAUAUAGUUGCUUAUCAUACUGCUAGCAAAUAGUGCAAUACUUGGCAUAGAGUUACAAAUAUUUAUUAACUAAGUAAAUCAUCCAAAUGACCAAUUUCUUUCCGCCAUGCCAUACUUUGCAGUCUCCUCUUAAAUAUAUAGCUAAUGGAUAGUUCAGUGUUUUCUAAGACAACCCAUUUAUCACCAAAGUGGGCUACUGAAAUUCAGACUUCCUGUACUGAAGCCUACAUCCCCCUCACUUCCUUCCAUGGAUCUCAGCUCUGCAACCAGUUGUCAUGAGAAAUAUAUCUUUUAUCACUUUCUCAUGUUAGUUUCUCACUGACCUUGGAUUAGGAAGACCUGGAUUUAGAAGUUUAGCUUGUUAUGGUUUGGAUGUGAAGUGUCCCCCAUAAGCUCUGGGUGAGAAAAUGCAAGAAGGUUUAGAGGAGAAAUGAUUGAAUUAUGAGUCUUUGCACAGUCCUUGAAAUAAUCCCACUGACUGGAUUAACUGAGUAGUAACUGAAGGUGGGUAGGGUGAGGCUGGAGAAAGUGGGAGCUGGGAUCCUGGAUUUGGGGUGUAUAUUUUAAUGUCUGGAGAGUGGAGUCUCUCUGCUUCUGAUCAUCAUGCAAGCUAUCUCCCGCCACCACAUUUUUCUGCCACGUUGUUCUGCCUCACCUCCAGCCGCAAGGAAUGGGGCCAGCUAUCUAUAGACUGUGACCUCUGAAACUGAGCCCCUGAAUAAACUUUUCCUCCUCUACAAUUGACCUAGUUGGGUGUUUUAGUCACAGCAGUGGAAAAGCUGACUGGAAUGGAGUUCAACCUUUUUCAUGGCCACAUGAACUUGGACAGUUUAUGAACUUCUCUGAACUUUUAGUACCUUUCUGGAAAACUGGAGUAAUAACUCCUUUCAUUCAAAAAUCCUUUGAGUCCAAAUAUGGAUCAUGGACAAGGUUCAAGUAUAAGAGAUCAUCAUUUUAUAAACUCUCUUCUGCUGUGCUGUAACU
rnacentral:lncRNA from 1 species